rnacentral:rRNA from 2 species
AGAUGCGAUCAUACCAGCACUAAAGCACCGGAUUCCAUCAAAACUCCGAAGUUAAGCGUGCUUGGGCGAGAGUAGUACUAGGAUGGGUGACCUCCUGGGAAGUCCUCGUGUUGCAUUCC